AACGCGAAGAACCUUACCUGGGCUCGAAAUGCUGUGGACCAGCUUAUGAAAGUAGGCCUUCCCGCAAGGGACCGCAGUAUAGGUGCUGCAUGGCUGUCGUCAGCUCGUGUCGUGAGAUGUUGGGUUAAGUCCCGCAACGAGCGCAACCCUCGUCCUAUGUUGCCAGCGGGUAAUGCCGGGGACUCAUAGGAGACUGCCGGGGUCAACUCGGAGGAAGGUGGGGAUGACGUCAAGUCCUCAUGCCCCUUAUGUCUUGGGCUGCAAACAUGCUACAAUGGCCGGUACAAAGGGUUGCGAGACCGCAAGGUGGAGCGAAUCCCAAAAAGCCGGUCUCAGUUCGGAUUGGGGUCUGCAACUCGACCCCAUGAAGUCGGAGUCGCUAGUAAUCGCAGAUCAGCAACGCUGCGGUGAAUACGUUCCCGGGCCUUGUACACACCGCUAGUC
rnacentral:rRNA from 1 species